rnacentral:piRNA from 1 species
UGGUAGGGCAAUCAAGGGAGAUGGCU